AUAAACUCUAAGAGAAAUCUAGUAAUAAACAAAGUGAAUUGAAAUAUCUUAUUAACUUUAGGAAAAUAAAUCAAACGAGAUUCUAUGAUUAGUGUGAACUAAAAUAGAGUAGCCUGUAAAUAAGUAGACUGAAAUAUAAAUUUGCUUGAAUAUAGGGGAACCUUCCUCUAAGGCUAAAUAUAAUAUAUAAGCAAUAGCGUAUAGUACCGUGAGGGAAAAUUUUGAAAGAGUAAUUUUAUAAGCAGCUCGAGUUAAAUUUAAAUAAAUAAUAAGAGUGUACCUUUUGCAUAAUGGGUCAGCAAGUUAAUAUUAGAUGCGAGCAUUUUUAAAUUAUCUAAUGCAUUAUUAAUUUAGCAUAGAUAAAAAUAAAUUGCCCAGAUAAACCAAUUAUUAAAUAAUGAGUAAGUAUCUAAAAUUAGACCCGAAAGCUAGUGAUCUUACCAUGAUCAGGGUUAUAAAAGCCCGAACGGGUUAUCGUUGUAUAGAUAUCCGAUGAAUUGUGGUAAGUAAGUGAAAGACAAGACUGACUAGUAUAGCUGGUUUUCCGCGAAACCUAUAUAAGUAGGCAAUUCAAAUAACAUCUUAGCAGGUACAGAACUGUAAUCUCAAACAACUUUAUUAAUAAAAUAAUAAUUUUGUAAUCAUCGGGGGAUUGUUGAAGGUUCUACCGGUGAGUAUCACAUCCGGAAGGGCAAUGAUGAAUAUUGAAUAAUCAGACAUAGUACGAUAAGGUUGUAUGUCUAAAGGGAAACAGCCCUAAACAAGAGUUAAUAAGGUUCCAAAAUUAUUAUUAAGUGAAAAUAAGGAAGUUAUUAUCAAACACGAUCAGGAAAUAGGCUUAGAAGCGGCCAUUUUUUGAAGAUCUCGUAACAGAGCACUGAUUUUGUAAACUCUAAAGUUUACACAGGUAACGGCACUUAAAAUUUAACGGAUCUAAAUAAUAUACCGAAACCUUGUCCAUAUAUAUCAAGAUAGAAAUUCUGCGCAACAAUAUAGCAAUAUAUCAAGUGUAAUAUUAUAUAUAUGGGGUAGCGGAACACUGGAUAAAUCUUAGACUUUUUCUUUUUAAGACUAUAUAUCAGAUAAUCCAGGUGAUAAUGCUGACAUGAGUAACGAAAAAGGGUGGCAUAAGCGUGCCCUCGCCUUAAGCUUAUGGAAUUUUAUUUAAAGUCACGGCCUCUAAGUUAAAAAAACCUAAAGGAAUUAACGAUGAGAAAUUUACACAUUGCAGAUAUAACCUUUGAAUAUGUGACAAGGGUUCUGGAAAAUAAAAUGUGUGGUUAUAGGUUUACUUUUUGCAUUAAAAAUAGAAAAAAGUAAUGUGGUGUACUAUUUAUAGUCCCCUAUAUACCCAGACCGUACCUAAAAACUAACACCAGUAAGCAAGUAGAGGAUACGAAGGCGUUUGAGUUAACAAUCAUUAAGGAACUCGGCAAAUUGACUUCCGUAACUUCGGGAUAAGGAGAGCCAUUCCUCCUGAUUAAUAUCAGGUAAAGAAUAGGAAGCAUAGAAUAGUGUUGUACGACUGUUUAAUUAAAACAAAGCACUCUGCAAAGAUAUUAAGUCAAAGUAUUGAGUGUGAUUUCUGCCCAAUGUCGGCUGGUUAACGGAUUUGCUUAAUUGACUAAUAUAGGUUAGGCUUUGAAGGAAACCCCGAUCAAUGGCGGCCUUAACGAUAAGGGUCCUAAGGUAGCGGAAUACCCUGGCCGUUAAAUGCGGUCUUGCAUGAAUGAUUUAACGAUACAACAGCUGUCUCAAUGAUUGGCUCAGUGAAAUUGGAAUAACUGUGCAGAUACAGUUUACCUCUAGUUAGACGAGAAGACCCUAUGCAGCUUUACUGUUACUAGUUAAGGGUAUAAUGUAGUUAUAGUUGUAGUGUAUAAGGAAAUUGUUAGAUAAAAUUGAAACACCUUUAUAGGAGGCGGUUUAUGCGGGGCACAGAUCCCAUAAAAAGUAACUGGGUGUAUCCAAAGUUAAAAUUGUAAACUUGCAAAUUGCAAUUAAACGUAUAAAAAGGUAAUUAUAUACCUCUUCAUACAUUUUUUAGAUUUAGUUUUUUAUUUAUUGUUUAUUAGAUAAUAAUAUUCAAUUUAUUCAGUUAUAUUUCUAUUAAAUUAGAUUUAUUAUUAUUUUUAAGUAAGAUUUUAACUAUAUGGUGAAUAGUUGUAACUUAAACAUUAAUUAUUUAUUAGUAAUGUUAUUUAUUAUAUCAUUAGUGUAUUUUAUUUUUUUUUAUUAUAACCACUAUGUAUAUAACCUUAAAUUUUACAAGAAAAGUUUAAUGGCUUAAUCUUGCUUUACUGUUUGACUUACACGUCUAUCAGUCGCGUAAGCGGGGCAUAUGAUCACAAGAUGCAUAAAGGAAAGGUCUUGGAUUUUUGAAAAAGUUACGCUAGGGAUAACAGGCUAAUUGCGCCAGAGAGUACAAAUUGAGUGCGCAGUUUGGCACCUCGAUGUCGGCUUAGCUCAUCCACAUGAACGCAGGAAUCAUGAAGGGUGCGACUGUUCGUCGAUUAAAGAGCUACACGAGCUGGGUUAAAUACGUCGUGAGACAGUAUGGUUUCUAUCUUCUAGAGGAAAUUAGAGUAAAAUAAGGAUAGCCCCUUCGUACGAAAGGAGUUGGGUAUAUUAACCUAUAGUUUACCUGUUGUUUAUGCAUAGGCAUGGCAGGAAGGCUACGUUAGUUAAAGAUAAGUGCUGAAUGCAUAUAGGCACAAAACUUACUUUAAGAUACUUUUAAAUAGACGUAGUUUAUCACUACGAAAAUAGUUGACUUAUUUUAUUAUUUUUAAUAAAGUAC
rnacentral:rRNA from 1 species